rnacentral:rRNA from 1 species
GACGAACGCUGGCGGCGUGCUUAACACAUGCAAGUCGAGCGGUAAGGCCCUUUCGGGGGUACACGAGCGGCGAACGGGUGAGUAACACGUGGGUGACCUGCCCUUAGCUCUGGGAUAAGCCUGGGAAACUGGGUCUAAUACCGGAUAUGACCUCGCGACGCAUGUUGUGGGGUGGAAAGCCUUGUGCGGCUAGGGAUGGGCCCGCGGCCUAUCAGCUUGUUGGUGGGGUGAUGGCCUACCAAGGCGACGACGGGUAGCCGGCCUGAGAGGGCGACCGGCCACACUGGGACUGAGACACGGCCCAGACUCCUACGGGAGGCAGCAGUGGGGAAUCUUGCGCAAUGGGCGAAAGCCUGACGCAGCGACGCCGCGUGAGGGAUGACGGCCUCGGUUGUAA